AAGUGAGUACAGUUCUACCAGAGGAAUUCCUCAUGAGUACCAUUAAUCUCCAAACUCUAUGCCCGCGUUCAAUUAUCAUCAAUCUGUAUGCUCCCAAGAUCCUGUGUACUCGCCACAUCCCACAUAUAAUCCUCCACCAGGCUAACGACCUGAUACUAUUUGGUAGCCUAUUAUGUGAGUACAGUUCUACCAGUCAUGCUUCCUGAGUACCAUUCAUCUCCAAACUCUCUGCCCCCGUUCCAUUGUCAUCAACUCGUAUACCGAUAUUAGGUUCCGU
rnacentral:misc_RNA from 1 species